rnacentral:rRNA from 1 species
AAGAACCAACAGGGAUUGCCCUAGUAACGGCGAGUGAAGCGGCAACAGCUCAAAUUUGAAAUCUGGCUCUUUUAGAGUCCGAGUUGUAAUUUGCAGAGGGCGCUUUGGCGUUGGCAGCGGUCCAAGUUCUUUGGAACAGGACGUCACAGAGGGUGAGAAUCCCGUACGUGGUCGCUAGCCUUCGCCGUGUAAAGCCCCUUCGACGAGUCGAGUUGUUUGGGAAUGCAGCUCUAAAUGGGAGGUAAAUUUCUUCUAAAGCUAAAUACUGGCCAGAGACCGAUAGCGCACAAGUAGAGUGAUCGAAAGAUGAAAAGCACUUUGGAAAGAGAGUCAAAUAGCACGUGAAAUUGUUGAAAGGGAAGCGCUUGCAGCCAGACUUGCCUGUAGUUGCUUAUCCGGACUUUUGUCCGGUGCACUCUUCUGCGGGCAGGCCAGCAUCAGUUUGGGCGGUUGGAUAAAGGUCUCUGUCAUGUACCUCCUUUCGGGGAGGCCUUAUAGGGGAGACGACAUGCAACCAGCCUGGACUGAGGUCCGCGCAUUUGCUAGGAUGCUGGCGUAAUGGCUGUAAGCGGCCCGUCUUGAAACACGGACCAAGGAGUCUAACAUCUAUGCGAGUGUUUGGGUGUCAAGCCCAGACGCGUAAUGAAAGUGAACGGAGGUGGGAACCUUUUAGGUGCACCAUCGACCGAUCCUGAUGUCUUCGGAAGGAUUUGAGUAAGAGCAUGGCUGUUGGGACCCGAAAGAUGGUGAACUAUGCUUGAAUAGGGUGAAGCCAGAGGAAACUCUGGUGGAGGCUCGCAGCGGUUCUGACGUGCAAAUCGAUCGUCAAAUUUGGGCAUAGGGGCGAAAGACUAAUCGAACUAUCUAGAGCU